rnacentral:snoRNA from 1 species
ACGACCUUACUUGAACAGGAUCUGUUCUAUAGGCUCGUAUCGUUGCAUCCUUUUCCAAUAAGGAGGCAAGCUCUCAAGUCUGGUUGAUGCGACAUAACCUCCGGGCCAGAGCGUGAUUUAACGGCUAGGAUGCAUGUUUGAGCCAUCCGACGGCUGCAGAGGAUCGUUCCUGCCUGGUUCACUCCGGUGCAGGGUGGCCCAGAGGUUGUCUGACAGACA